CUUCGGGCGCAAACGGGUGCCAAAGGAGGAGAGAGAUAUCAAUAAGUCGCUCGUGGCGCUGGGCCGCGUCAUUACCGCUCUGGCAAACAGGAGAACUCACAUCCCGUACAGAGGGUCCAAGCUGACGCGCUUCCUGCGAGACUCGCUGGGUGGUGGGACGAAAACCACCAUCAUUGCCACCGUCCCAAGGGUCUCCAGUGAGCUUGGGGUGCGUUUGUCCCACUGUGUUCAAAAAAAAAAAAAGUCCUGAGAUGGAGACGACAUGGA